rnacentral:rRNA from 1 species
AUGAAGGACGUUACUAACGACGAUAUGCUUUGGGGAGCUGUAAGUAAGCUUUGAUCCAGAGAUUUCCGAAUGGGGAAACCCAGCAUGAGUUAUGUCAUGUUAUCGAUAUGUGAAUACAUAGCAUAUCAGAAGGCACACCCGGAGAACUGAAACAUCUUAGUACCCGGAGGAAGAGAAAGAAAAUUCGAUUCCCUUAGUAGCGGCGAGCGAAACGGGAAGAGCCCAAACCAACAAGCUUGCUUGUUGGGGUUGUAGGACACUCUAUACGGAGUUACAAAGGACGACAUUAGACGAAUCAUCUGGAAAGAUGAAUCAAAGAAGGUAAUAAUCCUGUAGUCGAAAAUGUUGUCUCUCUUGAGUGGAUCCUGAGUACGACGGAGCACGUGAAAUUCCGUCGGAAUCUGGGAGGACCAUCUCCUAAGGCUAAAUACUCUCUAGUGACCGAUAGUGAACCAGUACCGUGAGGGAAAGGUGAAAAGCACCCCGGAAGGGGAGUGAAAUAGAACCUGAAACCGUGUGCUUACAAGUAGUCAGAGCCCGUUAAUGGGUGAUGGCGUGCCUUUUGUAGAAUGAACCGGCGAGUUACGAUUUGAUGCAAGGUUAAGCAGUAAAUGUGGAGCCGUAGCGAAAGCGAGUCUGAAUAGGGCGUUUAGUAUUUGGUCGUAGACCCGAAACCAGGUGAUCUACCCUUGGUCAGGUUGAAGUUCAGGUAACACUGAAUGGAGGACCGAACCGACUUACGUUGAAAAGUGAGCGGAUGAACUGAGGGUAGCGGAGAAAUUCCAAUCGAACCUGGAGAUAGCUGGUUCUCUCCGAAAUAGCUUUAGGGCUAGCCUCAAGUGAUGAUUAUUGGAGGUAGAGCACUGUUUGGACGAGGGGCCCCUCUCGGGUUACCGAAUUCAGACAAACUCCGAAUGCCAAUUAAUUUAACUUGGGAGUCAGAACAUGGGUGAUAAGGUCCGUGUUCGAAAGGGAAACAGCCCAGACCACCAGCUAAGGUCCCAAAAUAUAUGUUAAGUGGAAAAGGAUGUGGCGUUGCCCAGACAACUAGGAUGUUGGCUUAGAAGCAGCCAUCAUUUAAAGAGUGCGUAAUAGCUCACUAGUCGAGUGACACUGCGCCGAAAAUGUACCGGGGCUAAACAUAUUACCGAAGCUGUGGAUUGUCCUUUGGACAAUGGUAGGAGAGCGUUCUAAGGGCGUUGAAGCAUGAUCGUAAGGACAUGUGGAGCGCUUAGAAGUGAGAAUGCCGGUGUGAGUAGCGAAAGACGGGUGAGAAUCCCGUCCACCGAUUGACUAAGGUUUCCAGAGGAAGGCUCGUCCGCUCUGGGUUAGUCGGGUCCUAAGCUGAGGCCGACAGGCGUAGGCGAUGGAUAACAGGUUGAUAUUCCUGUACCACCUAUAAUCGUUUUAAUCGAUGGGGGGACGCAGUAGGAUAGGCGAAGCGUGCGAUUGGAUUGCACGUCUAAGCAGUAAGGCUGAGUAUUAGGCAAAUCCGGUACUCGUUAAGGCUGAGCUGUGAUGGGGAGAAGACAUUGAGUCUUCGAGUCGUUGAUUUCACACUGCCGAGAAAAGCCUCUAGAUAGAAAAUAGGUGCCCGUACCGCAAACCGACACAGGUAGUCAAGAUGAGAAUUCUAAGGUGAGCGAGCGAACUCUCGUUAAGGAACUCGGCAAAAUGACCCCGUAACUUCGGGAGAAGGGGUGCUCUUUAGGGUUAACGCCCAGAAGAGCCGCAGUGAAUAGGCCCAAGCGACUGUUUAUCAAAAACACAGGUCUCUGCUAAACCGUAAGGUGAUGUAUAGGGGCUGACGCCUGCCCGGUGCUGGAAGGUUAAGAGGAGUGGUUAGCUUCUGCGAAGCUACGAAUCGAAGCCCCAGUAAACGGCGGCCGUAACUAUAACGGUCCUAAGGUAGCGAAAUUCCUUGUCGGGUAAGUUCCGACCCGCACGAAAGGCGUAACGAUUUGGGCACUGUCUCAACGAGAGACUCGGUGAAAUCAUAGUACCUGUGAAGAUGCAGGUUACCCGCGACAGGACGGAAAGACCCCGUGGAGCUUUACUGUAGCCUGAUAUUGAAAUUCGGCACAGCUUGUACAGGAUAGGUAGGAGCCUUUGAAACGUGAGCGCUAGCUUACGUGGAGGCGCUGGUGGGAUACUACCCUAGCUGUGUUGGCUUUCUAACCCGCACCACUUAUCGUGGUGGGAGACAGUGUCAAGCGGGCAGUUUGACUGGGGCGGUCGCCUCCUAAAAGGUAACGGAGGCGCUCAAAGGUUCCCUCAGAAUGGUUGGAAAUCAUUCAUAGAGUGUAAAGGCAUAAGGGAGCUUGACUGCGAGACCUACAAGUCGAGCAGGGUCGAAAGACGGACUUAGUGAUCCGGUGGUUCCGCAUGGAAGGGCCAUCGCUCAACGGAUAAAAGCUACCCCGGGGAUAACAGGCUUAUCUCCCCCAAGAGUUCACAUCGACGGGGAGGUUUGGCACCUCGAUGUCGGCUCAUCGCAUCCUGGGGCUGUAGUCGGUCCCAAGGGUUGGGCUGUUCGCCCAUUAAAGCGGUACGCGAGCUGGGUUCAGAACGUCGUGAGACAGUUCGGUCCCUAUCCGUCGUGGGCGUAGGAAAUUUGAGAGGAGCUGUCCUUAGUACGAGAGGACCGGGAUGGACAUACCUCUGGUGUACCAGUUGUCGUGCCAACGGCAUAGCUGGGUAGCUAUGUGUGGACGGGAUAAGUGCUGAAAGCAUCUAAGCAUGAAGCCCCCCUCAAGAUGAGAUUUCCCAACUUCGGUUAUAAGAUCCCUCAAAGAUGAUGAGGUUAAUAGGUUCGAGGUGGAAGCAUGGUGACAUGUGGAGCUGACGAAUACUAAUCGAUCGAAGACUUAAUCAAAUU